rnacentral:rRNA from 1 species
AGAGUUUGAUCCUGGCUCAGAUUGAACGCUGGCGGCAGGCUUAACACAUGCAAGUCGAGCGGAGAGAGGUAGCUUGCUACUGAUCUUAGCGGCGGACGGGUGAGUAAUGCUUAGGAAUCUGCCUAUUAGUGGGGGACAACAUUUCGAAAGGAAUGCUAAUACCGCAUACGUCCUACGGGAGAAAGCAGGGGAUCUUCGGACCUUGCGCUAAUAGAUGAGCCUAAGUCGGAUUAGCUAGUUGGUGGGGUAAAGGCCUACCAAGGCGACGAUCUGUAGCGGGUCUGAGAGGAUGAUCCGCCACACUGGGACUGAGACACGGCCCAGACUCCUACGGGAGGCAGCAGUGGGGAAUAUUGGACAAUGGGCGCAAGCCUGAUCCAGCCAUGCCGCGUGUGUGAAGAAGGCCUUAUGGUUGUAAAGCACUUUAAGCGAGGAGGAGGCUACUUUAGUUAAUACCUAGAGAUAGUGGACGUUACUCGCAGAAUAAGCACCGGCUAACUCUGUGCCAGCAGCCGCGGUAAUACAGAGGGUGCAAGCGUUAAUCGGAUUUACUGGGCGUAAAGCGCGCGUAGGCGGCUAAUUAAGUCAAAUGUGAAAUCCCCGAGCUUAACUUGGGAAUUGCAUUCGAUACUGGUUAGCUAGAGUGUGGGAGAGGAUGGUAGAAUUCCAGGUGUAGCGGUGAAAUGCGU